UAAUGCAGUCGAGCGACAGACAAGGAGCUUGCUCCUUUGACGUUAGCGGCGGACGGGUGAGUAACACGUGGGUAACCUACCUAUAAGACUGGGAUAACUUCGGGAAACCGGAGCUAAUACCGGAUAAUAUUUCGAACCGCAUGGUUCGAUAGUGAAAGAUGGUUUUGCUAUCACUUAUAGAUGGACCCGCGCCGUAUUAGCUAGUUGGUAAGGUAACGGCUUACCAAGGCGACGAUACGUAGCCGACCUGAGAGGGUGAUCGGCCACACUGGAACUGAGACACGGUCCAGACUCCUACGGGAGGCAGCAGUAGGGAAUCUUCCGCAAUGGGCGAAAGCCUGACGGAGCAACGCCGCGUGAGUGAUGAAGGUCUUCGGAUCGUAAAACUCUGUUAUUAGGGAAGAACAUACGUGUAAGUAACUAUGCACGUCUUGACGGUACCUAAUCAGAAAGCCACGGCUAACUACGUGCCAGCAGCCGCGGUAAUACGUAGGUGGCAAGCGUUAUCCGGAAUUAUUGGGCGUAAAGCGCGCGUAGGCGGUUUUUUAAGUCUGAUGUGAAAGCCCACGGCUCAACCGUGGAGGGUCAUUGGAAACUGGAAAACUUGAGUGCAGAAGAGGAAAGUGGAAUUCCAUGUGUAGCGGUGAAAUGCGCAGAGAUAUGGAGGAACACCAGUGGCGAAGGCGACUUUCUGGUCUGUAACUGACGCUGAUGUGCGAAAGCGUGGGGAUCAAACAGGAUUAGAUACCCUGGUAGUCCACGCCGUAAACGAUGAGUGCUAAGUGUUAGGGGGUUUCCGCCCCUUAGUGCUGCAGCUAACGCAUUAAGCACUCCGCCUGGGGA
rnacentral:rRNA from 1 species